CCUUUGCACUAGUUUCGUAAAUAUUGAAUAAUAUAAACACACAAACAUAUGAUUUAAAGUUUUGUGUAUAAAUUUUCUGUAUGAAUUGAGAACUUGUGCAAAUAUUCAUAGCUUUUUAUAUUAACUUUAUUUAUAAAAUACUUCUGAGAUUAAUUAAACUUCAUUGUUUCGAAGGUCAACUUGCCGUGUUUGCAAAAUACACUUUUGUAUUUUUCUCUUUAUUGUUCGAGACAAGAAUUAUAUAAACAAUCAUAAUGUCGACAAUAAUUGAAGAUGAACAAAUGAAUAAUCAGCGCGUUUUGCCUCGGAUAGUUCUAAUAGCCUGUGGCUCCUUCAGCCCACCGACACCAAUGCACUUUCGCAUGUUCGAUAUUGCACGUGAUUUUUACAAAACACAAGGAACACAUCACGUAAUUGGUGGCAUCGUUUCACCCACACACGAUUCAUAUCAGAAGAAAGGACUCGUGGCUGGUACACAUCGAUUUGCUAUGUUGAAAUUAGCAUUGCAAUCCUCAACAUGGAUCAAACCUUCGGACUGGGAAAUACAACAGUCGGAAUGGUCGCGCACAAUCUCCGUUCUGCAGUACCAUCAAAACCAUAUGAAUAACUACAUUAACUCUCCACUAGAUAGUGACAAGAACGGUACUCUACCUGGUUGGAUGCCUCCAGGUUUGCGUGAGAGGCAGGAUGGUGUGCAAUUGAAAUUGCUGUGUGGAGCUGAUUUAUUAGAAUCAUUUGCAGUGCCGGGAUUAUGGGCAGAUAAGGAUAUUGAAGAUAUUGUUGGCAAUCACGGUUUAGUGGUUAUCUCACGUUAUGGCUCUAAUCCUGAAAAAUUCAUUUUCGAGUCAGAUAUGUUGACUAAAUAUCAGAAACAUAUUACGUUAAUAACGAAUUGGGUACCAAACGAAGUUAGUUCUACAAUAAUACGACGUCUCAUAUCGCGCGAUCAGUCUGUGAAAUACUUGCUUGAUGACAGGGUCAUUGACUAUAUUCAAAUGCAAGGACUAUUUAAUUGUAAAACUCCGACGAACAUAAUGUCAACAAUAAUUGAAGAUGAACAAAUGAAUAAUCAGCGGAUAUUGCCUCGGAUUGUUCUGAUAGCCUGUGGUUCCUUCAGCCCACCGACGCCAAUGCACCUUAGUAUGUUCGAAAUUGCACGCGACUAUUUCAAAACACAAGGAACACAUGAUGUCAUUGGUGGCAUCGUUUCACCCACACACGAUUCGUAUCAGAAGAAAGGACUCGUGGCUGGUACACAUCGAUUUGCUAUGUUGAAAUUAGCAUUGCAAUCCUCAACAUGGAUCAAACCCUCGGAUUGGGAAAUACAACAAUCGGAAUGGUCGCGCACAAUCUCCGUUCUGCAGUACCAUCAAAAUUAUAUGAAUAACUACAUCAACUCACCACUAGAAAAUAACAUGAACGGUACACUACCUGGUUGGAUGCCUCCAGGUUUGCGUGAGAGGCAGGAUGGUGUGCAAUUGAAAUUGCUGUGUGGAGCUGAUUUACUAGAAUCAUUUGCAGUGCCGGGAUUAUGGGCAGAUAAAGAUAUUGAAGAUAUUGUUGGCAAUCAUGGUUUAGUGGUAAUAUCACGCUGUGGCUCUAAUCCUGAAAAAUUCAUUUUCGAGUCAGAUAUGUUGACAAAAUAUCAGAAACAUAUUACGUUAAUAACGAAUUGGGUGCCAAACGAGAUGAGUUCAACAUUAACACGACGUCUCAUAUCGCGCGAUCAGUCUGUGAAAUACUUGCUCGAUGACAGGGUCAUUGACUAUAUUCAAAUGCAAGGACUAUUUAAUUGUAAAACUCCGACGACAAUAAUUGAAGAUGAACAAAUGAAUAAUCAGCGGAUUGUUCUGAUAGCCUGUGGUUCCUUCAGCCCACCGACGCCAAUGCACCUUAGUAUGAUCGAAAUUGCCCGCAAUUAUUUCAAAACACAAGGAACACAUGAGGUCAUUGGUGGCAUAGUGUCGCCCACACAUGAUUCAUAUGAGAAGGAAGGACUCGUUGCUGGUACACAUCGAUUUGCUAUGUUGAAAUUAGCUUUGCAAUCCUCAACAUGGAUCAAACCCUCGGAUUGGGAAAUACAACAAUCGGAAUGGUCGCGCACAAUCUCCGUUCUGCAGUACCAUCAAAAUUAUAUGAAUAACUAUAUCAACUCACUAGAAAGUGAUAUAAACGGUACUCUACCUGGUUGGAUGCCUCCCGGUUUGCGUGAGAGGCAGGAUGGUGUGCAAUUGAAACUGCUGUGUGGAGCUGAUUUACUAGAAUCAUUUGCAGUGCCAGGGCUAUGGGCAGAUAAGGAUAUUGAAGAUAUUGUGUGCAAUCAUGGUUUAGUGGUAAUAUCCCGCUAUGGCUCUAAUCCUGAAAAAUUCAUUUUGGAGUCAGAUAUGUUGAAAAAAUAUCAGAAACAUAUUACGUUAAUAACGAAUUGGGUACCAAACGAAGUAAGUUCUACAAUAAUACGAAGUCUUAUUUCGCGCGAUCAGUCUGUGAAAUACUUGCUCGAUGACAGGGUCAUUGACUAUAUUCAAAUGCAAGGACUAUUUAAUUGUAAAACUAAGUAUAUGAUUGGACUAAACCGUUUAACAACACACCCACAAAAAUAUAACAACUUUUAUUUAAAUCGUGUUAAUACUAAUUCCAGCUCAUCCGUCAAUAAUUCGCCAUCUGACGGCGAAGAUGGGCCAGGAUAAGUUGUGCAGGUGGUGACGUUCAAGAAGGGUACAAAGCGCGCUGGCAGUGGUGUGGAUGAGGCAGUGGGAUGAAGAGAACAUGGGAAAGGCCAUAGCAGCUGUAAGAGAAAAGGGGAAAUGGGAAUACUAUUGGCCUCUAAAACCUUCCAAGUGAAUGGCUAGAAGCGAGAAGCCGGCAGAGGAGCUACUUGCCACAAAAUUAGGCAGGAAAAUAACUAGCCGCAAAAAUUGAAAUCCGAAGCCAUAAAGAAAAAGGCAAAUGCUGUGCUACACAUUGGUGUAGUAUCCGUGAAAAGUAGUCAGUGAAAGUAGACGUAUUUUUUGGGAUACACUUAAAAUAUCGAAAUUCAAAAUGUCGACACAUCAAAAUACCGACAAAAUUUAAAUAUUCAGCUAAAACAAAAAAUACCGACAGAUCGGAACACCGAAAAAUCAAAAUACCGACAAACCAAAAUGCCGACAUGAGAAAAAUAUUUUAUCUUGUCUGCCCUUAUUUCUAUCGAAGCACAGAAAGAGAAUUCUACUGACUAAGGGUUAUGAUCCUGAGCGUGUUUGUGGCCGGAGGCCGCAGGGCCUCGAACGAACAACGCCACCGUUUCUUGAUUUGCCGGUAUUGUGAUUUGUCGGUGUUUAGACUUGUUUUGACUGUCGGGAUUUAAAUUUCGAUAUUUUGAUUGUCGGCAUUACGUUAUAUGUACACCCGUAUUUCUUCUUCUUCUUCUUAAUUGGCGUAGAUACCAGCAGUUGUACACUCUUGUAGAAGAUGGUACCUUCUCUAUUUAGUUCUGCAGCUCGAACUAUUUUCUCCAGAAGCAGGUUGAAGAAGUCGAACGAUAGGCAAUCGCCUUGUCUGAAACCUCGUUUGGUAUCGAACGGCUCGCAGAGGCCCUUCC